UGCAGUCGAGCGGACAGAAGGGAGCUUGCUCCCGGAUGUUAGCGGCGGACGGGUGAGUAACACGUGGGUAACCUGCCUGUAAGACUGGGAUAACUCCGGGAAACCGGAGCUAAUACCGGAUAGUUCCUUGAACCGCAUGGUUCAAGGAUGAAAGACGGUUUCGGCUGUCACUUACAGAUGGACCCGCGGCGCAUUAGCUAGUUGGUGGGGUAAUGGCUCACCAAGGCGACGAUGCGUAGCCGACCUGAGAGGGUGAUCGGCCACACUGGGACUGAGACACGGCCCAGACUCCUACGGGAGGCAGCAGUAGGGAAUCUUCCGCAAUGGACGAAAGUCUGACGGAGCAACGCCGCGUGAGUGAUGAAGGUUUUCGGAUCGUAAAGCUCUGUUGUUAGGGAAGAACAAGUGCGAGAGUAACUGCUCGCACCUUGACGGUACCUAACCAGAAAGCCACGGCUAACUACGUGCCAGCAGCCGCGGUAAUACGUAGGUGGCAAGCGUUGUCCGAAAGUUAUUGGGCGUAAAGGGCUCGCAGGCGGUUUCUUAAGUCUGAUGUGAAAGCCCCCGGCUCAACCGGGGAGGGUCAUUGGAAACUGGGAAACUUGAGUGCAGAAGAGGAGAGUGGAAUUCCACGUGUAGCGGUGAAAUGCGUAGAGAUGUGGAGGAACACCAGUGGCGAAGGCGACUCUCUGGUCUGUAACUGACGCUGAGGAGCGAAAGCGUGGGGAGCGAACAGGAUUAGAUACCCUGGUAGUCCACGCCGUAAACGAUGAGUGCUAAGUGUUAGGGGGGUUUCCGCCCCUUAGUGCUGCAGCUAACGCAUUAAGCACUCCGCCUGGGGAGUACGGUCGCAAGACUGAAACUCAAAGGAAUUUGACGGGGGGCCCGCACAAGCGGUGGAGCAUGUGGUUUAAUUUCGAAGCAACGCGAAGAACCUUACCAGGUCUUGACAUCCUCUGACAACCCUAGAGAUAGGGCUUUCCCUUCGGGGACAGAGUGACAGGUGGUGCAUGGUUGUCGUCAGCUCGUGUCGUGAGAUGUUGGGUUAAGUCCCGCAACGAGCGCAACCCUUGAUCUUAGUUGCCAGCAUUCAGUUGGGCACUCUAAGGUGACUGCCGGUGACAAACCGGAGGAAGGUGGGGAUGACGUCAAAUCAUCAUGCCCCUUAUGACCUGGGCUACACACGUGCUACAAUGGACAGAACAAAGGGCUGCGAGACCGCAAGGUUUAGCCAAUCCCAUAAAUCUGUUCUCAGUUCGGAUCGCAGUCUGCAACUCGACUGCGUGAAGCUGGAAUCGCUAGUAAUCGCGGAUCAGCAUGCCGCGGUGAAUACGUUCCCGGGCCUUGUACACACCGCCCGUCACACCACGAGAGUUUGCAACACCCGAAGUCGGUGAGGUAACCUUUAUGGAGCCAGCCGCCGAAGGUGGGGCAGAUGAUUGGGGGAA
rnacentral:rRNA from 1 species